rnacentral:misc_RNA from 1 species
AAAAAAAUAAAAUAAAAUAAAAAACCGUCUAAGAGGGAGAGCGUCUGAAUCCAAAAUUAUAGAGCAACAAGAGAUCUAACAAAAGAAAUUGCAUUUUUAGGUUACGGCUGCCACUUCAAGCGGUGAGAUGAAGCAAAAUGUGUGAAGUGAAAAUAUCAAAUCAGUAACAGUGAAAUCGAAGAAGAAAUUGGCACAACGCUCAAAAUCUAAGGUAGCAGAGGAGAAAUAAAAGGGUUUGAAAACAUACCUUAGCGAUUUUGAGUAUCAGAUCUGGAGAGCGGAAGCCA